AUACGGAGGGUGCAAGCGUUACUCGGAAUCACUGGGCGUAAAGCGCGCGCAGGCGGCUAUUUAAGUUGGAUGUGAAAGCCUACGGCUCAACCGUAGAACUGCAUCCAAAACUAUUUAGCUAGAGUGUGGGAGAGGAAGAUGGAAUUAGUUGUGUAGGGGUAAAAUCCGUAGAGAUAACUAGGAAUACCAAAAGCGAAGGCAAUCUUCUGGAACACUACUGACGCUGAGGCGCGAAAGCGUGGGGAGCAAACGGGAUUAGAAACCCGAGUAGUCCC
rnacentral:rRNA from 1 species